rnacentral:rRNA from 1 species
UACGGGGGGGGCAAGCGUUGUUCGGAAUUACUGGGCGUAAAGGGCUCGUAGGCGGCCAACUAAGUCGGAUGUGAAAUCCCCAAGCUUAACUUGGGAACUGCAUCCGAUACUGGAUGGCUUGAAUCCGGGAGAGGGAUGCAGAAUUCCAGGUGUAGCGGUGAAAUGCGUAGAGAUGGGGGAGAACACUCGUGGCGAAGGCGGCCAGCUAGACCAGUUCUGACACUGAGGCGCGACAGCGUGGGGAGCAAACAGG